ACUCAAAGGAAUAGACGGGGAGGCACACAACCAGUGGAACAUGUGGUUCAAUUCGAUACGAACCGAAGAACCUCACCAGGGUUUGACAUCCAAGAGUUCAAGGUCUUAUGAAAGUAGGACUGUCCGCAAGGAGGCUUGGACAGGUGCUGCAUGGCUGUCGUCAGUUCGUUCCGUGAGGAGUGCCCUUAAGUGGGACAACGAACGCAACCCCUAUCUUGUGUUACAAAUGUCACAAGAGACUGCCCCGACUUUGUCGGGGAGGAAGGAGGGGCAGACGUCAAGUCAGCAUGGUCCUUAUACCCUGGGCUACACACAUGUUACAAUGAGAUGCUACAGAGGGUCUUGCCAACUCGCAAGAGUGAGCAAAUCCCAGAAAUCAUCUCCCAGUAGGGAUUGAGGUCUGCAACCCGACCUCAUGAACCCGGAAUUGGUAGUAAUCGCGGGUCAGCUACACCGCGGUGAAUACGUUCUUGCCUCUUGCACACACCGCCCGU
rnacentral:rRNA from 1 species